GACGAACGCUGGCGGCGUGCUUAACACAUGCAAGUCGAACGAAGAGCGAUGGAAGCUUGCUUCUAUCAAUCUUAGUGGCGAACGGGUGAGUAACGCGUAAUCAACCUGCCCUUCAGAGGGGGACAACAGUUGGAAACGACUGCUAAUACCGCAUACGAUCCAAUCUCGGCAUCGGGACUGGAUGAAAGGUGGCCUCUAUUUAUAAGCUAUCACUGAAGGAGGGGAUUGCGUCUGAUUAGCUAGUUGGAGGGGUAACGGCCCACCAAGGCGAUGAUCAGUAGCCGGUCUGAGAGGAUGAACGGCCACAUUGGGACUGAGACACGGCCCAGACUCCUACGGGAGGCAGCAGUGGGGAAUCUUCCGCAAUGGACGAAAGUCUGACGGAGCAACGCCGCGUGAGUGAGGACGGCCGUCGGGUUGUAAAGCUCUGUUAAUCGGGACGAAUGGUUCUUGUGCGAAUAGUGCGAGGAUUUGACGGUACCGGAAUAGAAAGCCACGGCUAACUACGUG
rnacentral:rRNA from 1 species